GCUAUGUUCUUUAAAUUUAAAGGAUUUGGCGGUUGUUUAGUCUAGUUAGAGGAACCUGCUUAUUAAACGAUAAACCUCGCAAUAUCUUACCUACUUUAUUACAGUUUGUAUACCGUCAUUAUCAGAUUACUUUCAAAGAAAAAGUGAUUAUUGUAUGUUUAUACAUUAAAUAUUAGAUCAAGGUGCAGCUUAUAAGUGGGUUUAAGUGGGUUACAAUGAAUUUUAUUUAUUACGGAGAAUAAAUUUAAAUAUUUAUUUGAAGGAGGAUUUAAUUGUAAAUUUAAUUUAAUAAGAUAAAUUGAUAUUAGCUCUAAAUUAUGUACAAAUCGCCCGUCACUCUCUG
rnacentral:rRNA from 1 species